rnacentral:piRNA from 1 species
UAGUUUCUUGGAAGGUGCUCUACUGC